rnacentral:lncRNA from 1 species
UUCUAGGGUUAGUUUGUUUUUCUCAUGAAGUUUACUGUGUAGAAGAAUAGGGUUAGUUUUAGGGUUAGCUUACUAUGUAGAAGAAUAGGGUUAGAAGAAUAAUGUGUAGAAGGAUAGGGUUAGUUUUAGUUUUAGGGUUUGUGAAUGUGAAUGUGAUACAAUGUGAAUAUGCAUGAAGGUAGGGUGAAGGAUUAGGACGAUUAGUGUUUUUUUUGCUCAGUAAGUUUACUAUGGCUACUGUAUAAUGUGAUAUGCAUGAUGAAGCUACUUUUGCUUUUGAUGUGGGCCCGGUCAUCGUGCCGAGGCCGUUGAAAAUUAAGGGGCCGGCCAUCGCGCCGAGGGGAUAUGUGGGUGGCUAAUUUUUAUGCAGGUUUCAUUAUCGGGUAGACCAAUUCGCUAGCUUUAUAGCACGGGUCAUGCCGAAUUUUUCUAGUUUUACAGUAUGGGUCAUGCCGAAAUUUUCAAUUUUUUAAAGUAAUCCAUAUAAGGGCAUUGUAUAGGAACCUCAGGG